rnacentral:lncRNA from 1 species
AGACAUUAAUCUUAAGUAUCCAGGGAGCCCUAAAACAUUGUAUCCCACUAGCAAGGACCAUGGUAAUUGCCACGUAAAUCCCCUCCAUUAUGUGGCCCUUAUUAUGACCAGCCAGCCAAGGCUUGCCUUUAAAUCAUACCAAUUGAACCGAGCCUUGUAGAAACACUAUCACCUACGCAUACCUCUGCUUCUUUUCAUUAACCUGCUAUCCUCUUUACAAAUGGGAUUCUUCACCCACUCCCUUCUUCUAGAUUAGCAAUGCCCUGUUAAGUAAACGAACACGAAAUUCAAAGGGAAACAGGAGCAAUCAUCAUUACCAGCUGCCGUGUUAAGCAUUGCGAAAACGCUCACGAUUCACAGAAAAAUCCAUGCUGUUCUUUGAAGGCAUUCAAGCCUUAAUAGCUAGCUGGAUGAAUGUUUAACUUCUAGGCCAGGCACUACUCUGUCCCAACAAUAAGCCCUGUACAUUGGGAAAGGUGCCGAGACAUGAACUUUGGUCUUCUCUGCAAUCCAUCUGGAGCAUUCACUGACAACAUCGACUUUGAAGUUGCACUGACCUGGCCAGCCCUGCCACUUACCAGGUUGGCUCUGUAUGGCUAAGCGUUUUCUCCUAAAAUCCCUUGAAAACUGUGAGAAGACCAUAAGAAGAUCAUAUCUUUAAUUCUAUUUCACAAGUCACACAAUAUUCCAAUCAAAUACAGAUGGUUGAGAAAAGUCAUCCAUCUUCCCUCCCCACCCUCCCACAGCCCCUCAACCACUGCCCUGAAACUUAUAUGCUGUUAUCCGCAGCUCCAUCUGGAGCAUCACAGCUACUGUCAACCCUGACGCUCUUUCUGAAAAAACACCGGAUGGACAUCAGAACUAUUUCUUUAAGGAUGUUACUGAGCCACACAGGAAAACUUGCCUUAUGAUUUUGAAUGCACGGAUCUGAUUUGACUAAACAUGAUAACUAGAGAAUCACCCAAUCUACUCCCAUUUUCAACUCUAAAUCAUCAGAGUGUCUCAAAUCCAAAGCACACACAGACCAGCCUGGCCAACACGGUGAAACUCCACCCCUACUAAAAGUAUAAAAAUUAUCCAGGUGUGGUGGCGGGCGCCUGUAAUCCAAGCUACUUGGGAGUCUGGAGGCAGGAGAAUCCCUUGAACCUGGGAGAUGGAGGUUGCAGUGAGCAGAGAUCACACCACCGCACUCUAGCCUGGGCCACAAAUCAACAACAACAACAACAACAAAAAACAAAGCGCACACAGAGACUGAGGUCCUCUUUGGCAUUGAGAAGAUGGCUAUGCAAGUCCCAACUAGCAAGUGCAAACUUCCCAGCUUCACUUCUGCCAGUGUCCCUUCACCCCUUCUCAACCCCACUGGGAGGCAGGAGGGUGCUUGACAAUAACAGCCUUGGCAUCACUCUGCCAGGGUGUAAUAGGAACUGUUACAAUUCUGAGAUUCUGUAAGUGCUUUGAGAUUUUGGAGUCAGACUGCUUGAACUUGAAUCCUGGCCCUCUCAUCAGAGACUUGACUUAUUUUAGGCUGUGGCUUGCCUUUUCACUUCUUGUGUCCUGUUUAAGAAAUAUCUGCUAUCCCAAGCAUCUGGCAUCUUUCUUGACAUAUGUAGCAGUUGCUUUUUGACAGCUUGCUUCUUCAGUGAAUGAAUAAAUUAAUAAAGAGAAAUGUGAUGUUCAGUGAUCCAUUUUGCAGAUUGCAAACUCCUAGAGAAGGGCUCAACAGUGAGUGCUGAGGCUGCACAGAGGAGGAAGGCAGCACAAUGAUGGAAGGCUUCCUAAAGAGGUCAUCUCCUGAAUCAAUUAAAAAAAAAACCAACAGUGACAACAAAACUAAAAAAUAUGAAGAAGCUGAAACAUGAAAGCUCUGCCAACUGCAAUAUGUAGCUGCUAAGGUUGCUGUAUUUAUUGGAAUCAAGCAAGUGUUCCAGUAAAGAGCACAGAAGAUGUGUCUGGGAGCCUUUAUGUGUAGAUAACACUAACAAAGUUGACCUUAGAAUUGGAGUGCCUGGGUUAGAACCCUGCUGGUACCACCUGCUUACUGCAUGCUUCUGAUGUGAGUUCAGGAGAAGACACUGGCAAGGACAGCAAAGAACAGGAGAACACUCUAGCUUCCCUGAUAGCAUUCAAGGUGCUGUCCAAAGCUCUUGAGUUUCUGCUUUCAAGUGACCCUCAGAAAUUCCUCCAUUCACUGCAGAGGUUCUGUUUCUCCUUGCUUUGUUCUGACUUUACGGCAGAACUAAGCUAAUGAGUUAGUUACUAUGGGUUAUCACUUGGAUUUGAAGAACCAUCAUUUCUAGGCAUUGCUGCUCAGAGUGGGUCUGCCCUCAGGGGAAGCUGUCUAACCAGAGCCUAACCCACUAGGGUUUUAUCAGAACCUAACUGACCUGAGGAAAAGAAAUACUCAACUCCAGCAAGCUCCAGCCUUCCAAAUGGAGGAGGAGAAAACCCAACUCCAGCCCACUUCAGCUAUCUUGUCCCACAUAAAGGGGAAGUGGAAGAAACCUGAGAAGCAGGCAUGAAGUUCACAGUCCAGAGUGUAUUCCACACCAUUUCAUAUUCCAUCGCAUUCCAUUCUACACAAUUCCACAUCUCCCCGGCCACAUCAGCCUGAGAGUAAUAAACAGACCUUGCCAUCGUAUCCCCUUUUGGAGACACAAGCCAGGAAGGAAGCUCUUCAGUGCAGCUGUGAAUAGAGAAAUGCUGGCUGAGGUUUUGGAGACACUGGGUGAUCAUUCCCAGUGAAAUUUUUAGAUCCCUGGGGACAUGAGCUGCUUUGUCUUUUCCAAGGUCAGGAUAAACAGAAUAACUUCAGGCUUCUCUACCCAGAAAGAACAUGUGGCAUAAAUAUCAACUGCAGAAUAAAUAUGAUUAAUCUGGUACAUGGACGAAGAUGUUUUCUAGGAGAUGCUUAUCCUGGGAUGAGAGCUUUCAUAAGCAUUGAUAUUUACAUGACUCUUACCGUGUGUCAGGAACUGUUCUAAUUGUUUUACCUAUGUCAAUUCAUUUGAUAGUCACAACCACUGAAAGGAGUAAGUACUCUUAUUACUUCCAUUUUACAGAUAGGGAAACUGAGGUAUAGAGAAGUCAAGUGACUUGCCCGAGGUUAUUAAACUACUUAAUGUCAACACCA